UACGGGGGGGGCAAGCGUUGUUCGGAAUUACUGGGCGUAAAGGGCGCGUAGGCGGCCUGGGAAGUUCUGGGUGAAAGCCCCCGGCUCAACCGGGGAAGUGCCUGGGAAACCACUGGGCUGGAGUGCUGGAGAGGGAAGCGGAAUUCCUGGUGUAGCGGUGAAAUGCGUAGAGAUCAGGAGGAACACCGGUGGCGAAGGCGGCUUCCUGGACAGACACUGACGCUGAGGCGCGAAAGCCAGGGGAGCAAAC
rnacentral:rRNA from 1 species